CAUCUCCUGGGUGGCUCGUGAGGAGCCGACGCACGGUAGAACCAACAUUACCCACACGGGAGUCCUACAUUCGCGUGGCCUGUGCCAGCCCCGCAUCGACGGGGACGCUGAGGGCCAAUCGUGCGGACACCCACCUGACGCGUUUCAGGUUCUAGACGCAGCGUCUCCCACGGCCACCCGGGAGCUGU
rnacentral:other from 1 species